CUUACAAAUUCAGUUGGUUGUUUCUGUAUAGACUUUCAGUGCCAGCAUAUUUUGCAGAAUAUCUAUCUUCCAUCUGAUUUUGAACUGAGCCUUUAAAUUUUCAGGACAUCGUGGAAUGGGAAACAGGAUGUUCUAAUGACAGAAGGAAGCUAAGAAGUUAUUGAUGAAGUGAGAUUUGAUUGUUCGUUAACAGUUACUGAUGAAGAAGCACUUCUAGGUUGAAUAUUCACGAGUAGGGUCCUCUUACAAUGGUGAUGUAAAGGAGGAAUCUCAAUUUUCAGAUGGUGAUUAUAAUGAAGAAGAUGAUGAGAUGUUAAUAGUGAUGAUAGCAAUGAUGAAGGAAUGAUAAGGUAGCAAAAGAAUUUGGAGUGAAAAGUUAUCGGUCGCUUGUUUAUAUGGAUAAAAGGCAAAAGAGGAAGAGAAAAGGCAAAAGGAAAUGAUCAAAGGAGACCCUGCAAUUGUAAGUUUGGCAACAGUAUCUUUUCCAUUUCCCCCAUGUUGAUAGUAUAAGGAUUACAUUUGCCAUGUAAAUGUUCAGAGGAAGCUGAGUCACAAGGAAAGAAGGAGAGCUUCUCAGAUAAAAAAGGAAAGAGAGAGAGAGAGAGAGAAGCUUCUCGGAUAACAGGAACUCGAAGGGUCCAUUGUGAUUCUUGUUGUAGCAGUGUGAUUUUUCUAGAAGACUUGAAGAUCACAUUUUGUUUUUUGUACUCUUAAAAUCUGCUGUCAAUAUUUUGUUAGGUAGAAUUGUAUAUCUCUCCUUGAUUUAAGUAGAUUUGAUUAAAAAGAAAAGCUUACUUGUAGCAGUAGAUUUUGGCCAUACUGUUAGUACUCCUUUUGUUGCAAUAUAAGCAGCCUACCUUAGUGAAAAAUAUGCAUCUUCCUUUUUUUUAUAUGUUGUGAUCUAGAGAGCCUCUAUAUUUGUGAGUUUGUUGUGAGAGUAAUAUUCUAACAAAUGGUAUCAGAGCUUCAAUCUUAAGGGGCCUGUGCCUAUCCUUGUGAGCAUAUCUUUGUGAGCUUUUUAAGAGAGAUUUGAGAGUUAUUUCACCAGAAAUUUGUGAGUUCAUCAACCAUAUGUCUUUUAGCAACGUUUCAUUUCCUGUUCCACCUAUUUUUUCAAGUGAGAACUUUGAUUUUUGGGCUGUAAAACUGACAACAUUUUUUGGAGCUCAUGACUUGUGGGAUGUGGUAG